CAUGCAGUCGAACGAUGAACCACUUCGGUGGGGAUUAGUGGCGAACGGGUGAGUAACACGUGGGCAAUCUGCCCUGCACUCUGGGACAAGCCCUGGAAACGGGGUCUAAUACCGGAUACUGAUCCGCCUGGGCAUCCAGGCGGUUCGAAAGCUCCGGCGGUGCAGGAUGAGCCCGCGGCCUAUCAGCUUGUUGGUGAGGUAGUGGCUCACCAAGGCGACGACGGGUAGCCGGCCUGAGAGGGCGACCGGCCACACUGGGACUGAGACACGGCCCAGACUCCUACGGGAGGCAGCAGUGGGGAAUAUUGCACAAUGGGCGAAAGCCUGAUGCAGCGACGCCGCGUGAGGGAUGACGGCCUUCGGGUUGUAAACCUCUUUCAGCAGGGAAGAAGCGAAAGUGACGGUACCUGCAGAAGAAGCGCCGGCUAACUACGUGCCAGCAGCCGCGGGUAAUUCCA
rnacentral:rRNA from 1 species